ACGCUCGACACCUACGGAGGCAGCAGUGGGGAAUAUUGCACAAUGGGGGAAACCCUGAUGCAGCGACGCCGCGUGGAGGAAGAAGGUCUUCGGAUUGUAAACUCCUGUUGUUGGGGAAAAAGAGGAUGGUACCCAACAAGGAAGUGACGGCUAACUACGUGCCCGACAGCCGCGGUAAUCUGAGCGGGCUGGCAAGGC
rnacentral:rRNA from 1 species